GGUCCUAUAGUAUAAUGGCCAGUACAUUGGACUUUGAAUCCAAAAAUCCCAGUUCGAUCCUGGGUAGGACCU